AGCAGAGUGUAGGGCAGAUGCAACGAAAACAUACCUUCCCCCCAUUACCCAAAGCCUAGUCACAAUCUGUGCUCUCCAGUGCCCUGAGUCCAAAGGCUGUCCCCAGCCACUAGCACUGUGUUCCCCCAGAAGGGAUAUGGAGGCAAGAGUUAGCCAGCUGUCGAGGUUCCUCCUGCAAGGAAAAGCAGUGAUCAUAAGACUCCUUGUGAUAAUUUAGGGCAUUAAGGCACCAGAGCAUUUCACAGUUUUCAUACUGCCCCAGUGCCUUAAUGGUUUAACAAAAGCUGCAGACAGAAGCUUCCUCCAGCACUGAAAUGCUCCAGGAGAUGUUUAGCAGUGCACAGCAGCAAAGCUCUACAGCUUAUGAGAGGAGGUAAAGAAUUUUCUUUGCAAGUAAAAGUACCAGGGGACUAAAUCCUGUCAGCCUCACUCACCUGACUGCAAUGAGAGUGCUCCCAUGAGAAGCCACUUUCAUGUGGAGAUGAGGCAUGCAGGAUUAGGGCCUUAAUAUGCAACUCUCAGAGAGGCCAUAUCUAAUUACUAGAGUUAGGACUUGGGCUUCAGAGGUAAUCCCUCUGCUCUUACAAAAGGUGAAGUUAGUUUUUUAAUUAUGCCAAAUAGGAAUGGGAUUGAUCCUUUGCUGUGAGAAACACCAGGAGGAAAGAAUGAGUUUCGGCAUAAAUUCGAUCAGCCGGGGCUUUUGGUUCAAUCAGACAUAGGUCUUCGAGAAUCAUAAGCAAGAGGGACUAUAUUAGAGGUUCCUGUGUGAUCAGUGAAAGUCUUCCCACAAAGUGCCUAGCUGCUGUGCACUUCCAAUAUUGGCAGACUGAAUUCUCUGAACUAAAACUGCCAGGACAUCAAUAAAAGGGGAGGCUUUGUGCCAUCUCAUACUUUAAAACUGACAUGACAACUUUCCUGGGGCUUGCCUCACACAUAUGCCAACUUCUCCUCUAAGUUAAACUCGGAGUAAGUAGUCAGUUUAGUCCAAAAGCCAAGAGAUAUCACCUUACAGUUAUUUUCUUUAUCUCGGAGUCAGUCAGGAAUUAAAUGGCACUGCAUCCUAUUCUCCAUCUACAGUAAGGAGGCACAGAACAUUUUAAGUGAUUCCCUCAUAUUUGCUGCUUGAAUAAAUGGAAUAUAAUUUACUCUGCAUUGGCAACACUUAAAAGAGAUGCUAGCCAUACAAAAUAUUAAUAUGUCCUUUACAAGAUCACUCCUCAACUGAUUCAGUCACCUUUCAGACCAGUUCUCACCUCCACAAAUAAAUAACUGGAGCUAAAUCACCCAGAAGCUCAUACGUUCACUGAGCUAGAUCCUGAGAUAAGAUAAAUCAGUGUAACUCUAUUGAAGUCAAUGCAGCUAUAUACCAAUUAACAUCAGCAAAGGGUUUAACUUGAUGUGCUUUGUAUGGCUUCCUACUAAGAAAAUUAAUUAUAAAGCCAUAUAAUUUGAAUGGGAGAUUUUUCUAGCAUAGCUCAGGGUGGAAGAAAUGCCCAGAACAGCCCUAGGAUUAAGGUGGUGUAUCAAAGACAAUUAGGCAUUCACAACUGACCUGCCUAAUAUACAUUUUAGAUACACCCAGGACCUAGGGUCUUUCAAGUGAAUCUCAUUUUGACCUGUGUUUUCCCUUUCUUACAUUCCAAACUUUCCUAUAUUCCACAAACAUUCAGUAUCCCCCUGAUUGUAUUACUGAGUGGCCACAUCUACAAAAGACACUGACUGUGCAGAAACUCCAGUUAUUGCGCAGUUUCAGUGAGGAAUGGCUUUUUCAUGAUGCUGACUGCACAGUAGCUUGUGACUACUAGGGGUGUGUGAAAGGGGCCCUACCUAUUCGAUUUGGAUUCAGAUUCAGCCUGAAUCAGGGACAGUGAUUUCAUUUGUUGAUUCGGAUCACUGUCCCUGAUUCAGUUUGCCCAAAUCUCAAGCUGAAGAUUCAAUGCUGAUUCGGAGAAUCAGUGAUUCGGACACAGACACAGCUUUAAAA